AUUGAACGCUGGCGGCAGGCCUAACACAUGCAAGUCGAGCGAGGGGCGGAGGGGUGAGUAAUGUAUGGGGAACUGCCCGAUGGCGGGGGAUAACUACGGGAAACGGUGGCUAAUACCGCAUACUAUCGGAUGAAAGCCGGUUGGAUGAGCCAGUAGGUGAGGUAAAGGCUAACCAAGGCGACGAUCACUAGCUGGCCUGAGAGGAUGAUCGGCCACACUGGGACUGAGACACGGUCCAGACUCCUACGGGAGGCAGCAGUGGGGAAUAUUGCGCAAUGGGCGCAAGCCUGAUGCAGCCAUGCCGCGUGUAUGAAGAAGGCCUUCGGGUUGUAAAGCUCUUUUAGCGGGGAAGCGUUACCUGAACAGGAAGCACCGGCUAACUCCGUGCCAGCCGCCGCGGUAAUAC
rnacentral:rRNA from 1 species